UACGUAGGGGGCAAGCGUUGUCCGGAAUCAUUGGGCGUAAAGAGCGUGUAGGCGGCCAGAAAAGUCCGCUGUGAAAACUCGAGGCUCAACUUCGAGCUGUCGGUGGAAACUUUCUGGCUAGAGUCCGGAAGAGGAGAAUGGAAUUCCUGGUGUAGCGGUGAAAUGCGCAGAUAUCUGGAGGAACACCGGUGGCGAAGGCGGCUCUCUGGGCCCGUCCUGACGCUCAUGCGCGAAAGCUAGGGGAGCAAACAGG
rnacentral:rRNA from 1 species